rnacentral:rRNA from 1 species
UACGUAGGGGCCGAGCGUUGUCCGGAGUUAUUGGGCGUAAAGCGCGCGCAGGCGGCUUCACGCGCCCGACGUGAAAGCCCCCGGCUUAACCGGGGAGGGUCGUCGGGGACGGUGGAGCUUGAGGGCGGGAGAGGUCGGUGGAAUUCCCGGUGUAGUGGUGAAAUGCGUAGAGAUCGGGAGGAACACCUGUGGCGAAGGCGGCCGACGCUGGGCCCGACCCUGCGCGUGAGGCGACGAAGGGCGUAGGGGGAGUCGAACACGGG